UACGUAGGUGGCAAGCGUUAUCCGGAUUUACUGGGUGUAAAAGGUGAGUAGGCGGGUCUGCAAGUCAGGUGUGAAAUACUGCGGCUCAACCGCAGAAUUGCAUUUGAAACUACGGAUCUUGAGUGUCGGAGAGGUAAUUGGAAUUCCCAGUGUAGCGGUGAAAUGCGCAGAUAUCAGGAGGAACACCAAUGGCGAAGGCAGGUCUCUGGGCAGUAACUGACGCUGAGGAGCGAAAGCAUGGGUAGCGAACAGGA
rnacentral:rRNA from 1 species